rnacentral:rRNA from 1 species
GACGAACGCUGGCGGCGUGCUUAACACAUGCAAGUCGAACGGUAAGGCCCUUCGGGGUACACGAGUGGCGAACGGGUGAGUAACACGUGGGUGAUCUGCCCUGCACUUCGGGAUAAGCCUGGGAAACUGGGUCUAAUACCGGAUAGGACCACUGCCUGCAUGGGUGGUGGUGGAAAGCUUUUGCGGUGUGGGAUGGGCCCGCGGCCUAUCAGCUUGUUGGUGGGGUGAUGGCCUACCAAGGCGGGGACGGGUAGCCGGCCUGAGAGGGGGACCGGCCACACUGGGAGUGAGAUCCGGCCCAGACUCCUACGGCAGGCAGCAGUGGGGAAUAUUGCACAAUGGGCGCAAGCCUGAUGCAGCGACGCCGCGUGAGGGAUGACGGCCUUCGGGUUGUAAACCUCUUUCAGCACCGACGAAGCGCAAGUGACGGUAGGUGCAGAAGAAGGACCGGCCAACUACGUGCCAGCCGCCGCGGUAAAAC